GAUGAACGCUGGCGGCGUGCCUAAUACAUGCAAGUCGAACGGAGAGUCUUUGUAGCAAUACGAGGGCUUCUUAGUGGCGAACGGGUGAGUAACGCGUUGGUGACCUGCCCCAAAGUGUGGGAUAACAGUCCGAAAGGAUUGCUAAUACCGCAUGUGGUCCCCGGGUUUAGAAACCGGUGACUAAAGCAGUAAUGCGCUUUGGGAGGGACCUGCGUCCCAUCAGCUAGUUGGUGAGGUAACGGCCCACCAAGGCUACGACGGGUAGGGGACCUGAGAGGGUGGCCCCCCACAAUGGAACUGAAACACGGUCCAUACACCUACGGGUGGCAGCAGUAGGGAAUAUUGCACAAUGGGCGAAAGCCUGAUGCAGCAACGCCGCGUGCGCGAAGAAGGUCUUCGGAUCGUAAAGCGCUUUUCUGGGAGAUGAGAAAGGACAGUAUCCCAGGAAUAAGUCUCGGCUAACUACGUGCCAGCCGCCGCAGUAAUAC
rnacentral:rRNA from 1 species